GUGUCUGAAGACUGAUCUUGUAUUUUAUACUUUAGACAAUCCCUUUUGUUAUGCCCCUCUUGGUCGCAAGAAAAGCAACUAACAAGUGAAAAAUCUAAGUACUCUACCCUUCCUUUUAUAGACCAAGGGAAGGAGGUGGUAGACUCCUAAUAGAAUACCUAAUCAUUAUCCUAAUAUAACUAGGAAAACAAAAAGAUAAACACUCUCAAAGAGUUCUAGAUAACUCGAGAGUUUCACCGUCACAUGGACACUCCAUAUGAACUCCAACCAGGACUUGGCUACUGGACUUGGACUCAUACAGAUGAGCUGGACUCAUCAUAUUCUUCAUCUAUUCAAACUCUUUUACCCACCCCUAUAAAUUUCAUCCAUAUAAACUCUAAAACUCUUAUAAUUCGUUACUAAAUAGUGAGGAGAGAGAUUAAUAUUUAGCCCUAAUCAUGAUGAAGAGUGGUUCUAUAGUAGUUUUAAGCGUUUUUGCUUGCAUUUUUUUGCUAGAAAAUCAAGGAUUAGCUGAACCCGUACCCGAUAUUGAGACGCUAAUACACUGGAGACCGCGUCGAGUGCCCUUUCCAUGGCCUCCGCAGGAGCAUCUAUGCUGGUCGGCCUAUUACCAUAUGCACUUUUGUUCUGGU
rnacentral:lncRNA from 1 species